UACGGAGGGUGCAAGCGUUUAUCCGGAUUCACUGGGUUUAAAGGGCUCGUAGGCGGCCAACUAAGUCAGACGUGAAAUCCCUCGGCUUAACCGGGGAACUGCGUCUGAUACUGGAUGGCUUGAGUUUGGGAGAGGGAUGCGGAAUUCCAGGUGUAGCGGUGAAAUGCGUAGAUAUCUGGAGAAACACCGGUGGCGAAGGCGGCAUCCUGGACCAAUACUGACGCUGAGGAGCGAAAGCCAGGGGAGCAAACGGG
rnacentral:rRNA from 1 species